ACUAGUUUAUUGGUGCAUUCAACCACCAAGCAAAGUACAUUAAGAGUCAUUAGUGUUGAUAAAACAUUAGGGAAUUAAUCAAAUUAACAAUAUUUUCAAAAUGGAGACAAACUCUACAUCAUGUUGAUGCUCAAUAUUCUUUGGUCUAAUGCCAGUAAAAUCACAAGAUAUGAUUGUGUUUUUGAACAAAUAUUUUAUUAUACAUUAUUAAAUAUCAACCAAUUUUAUAUGCAAAUGACCUCUUGAGCUCCAUUAUGGUUUCAUGAUGGUUAAAUAAUAAAAAUUAGUAUGCGUACAAAGCCAAACAUAGAUUGCAUAGAUUUUCUUAAAGCACCAACUUCAGUUACUUACUAUAAAAAAUUAUAAAAUGAAACACAUUAUAAAGACAAUCACACUUUAUAGAGACACGGAUUGAACAAUAUUUAAGAAAUCAUUUCAUAAAUGGUGACAAAAAUGUUUUGCUAUGCUUGUUGCAGUUGUUAAAGACACUGAAAGCGCCUCAAAUCCUUCCACAGGAAACAGUGAUUAUUUAAAAUGAAUAAGCAGUAAAAUCAGAUCAAAUAUUAAUUAUUAAACCACUGACAGUUUCAAUAUAAUUAACCAAAAUAACCAGAACACCACUAACUGAACAGACCUUUACCUACAGUAAAUACUGCUAUAUUCUAUUAAAUUAAAUGAAACUUGUUCCACUUUUAGGAAGAUAAUGUAAAAAAAAAAAAAAAGAUGUUGAGAGGAAAUACUGCAUAUUCAAAACUGCACAAAAGAGAAAAAAGCUGACAGAGUUACUGAGGCUCAAAGACUGAACGUUUAAUGAUUUCAGUAAAUGAUGAAGAGAUUUCUGAGUGUGCUUUUUAAUAUCACAUAAAAAGGGCAGAAUGGCAGUAUAUCACAUGUAACACUGCUGUAAAGAUUAUUUUUCAUUUCUGAGAGGCAAAAUGUAAUAUUUUUUAGUUCAACACUUAUAAAGCACAGAAAUGUUAGAAGUAAGAUAUACAUUUCUCUUUCUAUCCAAUAUCUGAGUGACAGAAUAUGACAUUUAUUUUGGCAAAAUGAAUGUGUGAUGAUUUUCUGCCCAAAGUUUAACUAAAUCAGUGAUGAUUUUGACAUUGUCUGACUGGAUUAUGUCAUAACUUGAUAUUAUAACAUAUGAUAAUUAAAAACAGUCCACAGGUCCUUAAAUUAAGAAGUUGCAUAUAUUUAAAAGAAUUAACUUUAAAGGAUUAUUUCACUUCAGAAUUUAAAUUUCCUGAUAAUUUAUCCAAGAUGUUCAUGUCUUUCUUUCUUCAGUGGAAAAGAAAUGAAGGUUUUUGAGGAAAACAUUCCAGGAUUUUUCUCCAUAUAGUGGACUUCACUGGGGUUCAACGGGUUGAAGGUCCAAAUGUCAGUUUCAGUGCAGCUUCAAAGAGCUCUACAUGAUCCCAGACGAGGAAUAAGAGUCUUAUCUAGAGAAACCAUCGGCCAUUUUAUAAAAAAAAUAAAAA